rnacentral:lncRNA from 10 species
UCUCGAUCUCCUGACCUCGUGAUCCGCCCGCCUCGGUCUCCCAAAGUGCUGGGAUUACAGGUAUGAGCCACCGUGCCCGGCCGUUAUUCUCUAUUUUUUGUUGUUGUUUGAGAUGAGUCUUGUUCUGUUGCCCAGGCUGGAGUGCAGUGGCAUGAUCUCGCCUCCGGGUUCAAGCAAUUCUCCUGCCUCAGGCUCCUGAGGAAAAAGAUUCCUAGGAUUACAGGUGUGCACCACCACACUUGGCUAAUUUUUAUAUUUUUAGUAGAGAUGAGGUCUCACCCUAUUGGCCACACUGGUCUUGAACUCCUGACCUGAAGUGAUCCACCUGCCUUAGCCUCCCAAAGUGCUGGGAUGACAGGCAUGAGCCACUGCACCCAGCUGUUAUUCUCUAUUUAAUUAAUUGAGAAGCCAUAAUAAAAUAUCUCAGUGCCAUCAUGCAUUAGAUCAAGUUUAUGUUACCACAUUAUUUUUUGGACAUUGUGAGUCAAUAUUACCAAGUGGACAAAAUCCCAGGCAUCUUUUUCCUCAUGUAAAUUUUAAUUUUCAUGCUUAUAUACUUAGAACAUUUAUCUUGGUCCUAAUUUUUUGUUCAUUCAUAAUACCAAAAGUUAUCUCAUGUUCUUCAGAGUGACUUUGUGCCAUAUCCCACAGUGGCAUACCUGUCUUCAAAGAGGGUAUAAUUCACAAAAGGACUUACACUAGAGGAAAACCCUAUGAAUGUAAGCUGCGUGGGAAAGCAUUUUCUGAUCUGAGUGGCAUUGAAACCCACAUGGUAUUGCACAUGACAGAUAGGCCUCUCUCCCCGUUCAUUUCUUUUUUUUUGAGACGGAGUCUUGCUCUGUCGCUGAGGCUGAGAACAGUGGUUCCAUCUCUGUUCACUGCCACCUCCACCUCCUGGGUUCAAGUGAUUCUCCUGCCCCAGCCUCCCAAGUAGCUGGGAUUACAGGUGACCGCCACCACGCCCAGCUAAUUUUUGUAUUUUUAGUAGAGACGGGGCUUCACUAUGUUGGCCAGGUUCGUCUCGAACUCCUGACCUCAGGUGAUCCACCUGCCUCAGCCUCCCAAAGUGCUGUGCAUACAGGCAUGAGCCACUGCACCCGGCCUUCUCCCCAUUCAUUUUCAAAGACAUAAAAGGAUGCACAAUAAAGAGAGACCCUCUGAAUGCAAGCAAUAUGGAAAAGCAUUCCAUUGUAUCAGAUCCUUUUGUAGCCAUGAAAGAACUCGCUGAAGAGAAACCCUGUAAAUGAAGGGAAUGUGAAAAGCCUUCAUUCCUGAAAUGAAGCAAUUCAUACUAUUAAUAUAUGAGAGAAAUCCUAUUAUAAGAAAUUGAUUGCUGUGCACGGUAGCUUACCUGUAAUUCCAGCACUUCCAGAGGCUAAGGCAGGUGGAUCACUUGAGGUCAGGAGUUCAAUACCAGCCUGGGCAACAUAGUGAAACCCUGUCUCUACCAAAAAUACAAAAAUUAGCCAGGCAUGGUGGCGCGUGCCUGUAGUCCCAGCUACUCAGGAGGCUGAGGCAGGAGAAUCACUUGAACCCAGGAGCUGGAUGUUGCAGUGACCCGAGAUUACGCCACUGUACCCCAGCAGAGUGAGACUCCAUCUGAAAAAAAAAGCAAGGGGCCGGCACGGUGGUUCACGCCUGUAAUCCCAGCACUUUGGGAGACCAAGGCAGGCAGAUCACCUGAGGUCAGGAGUUCGAGACCAGCCUGGCUAACAUGGCAAAACCCCAUCGCUACUAAAAAUACAAAAAAUUAGAUGGGCAUGGUGGCACAUGCCUGUAAUCCCAGCUACAUGGGAGACUGAGGCAGGAGAAUUGCUUGAACCUGGGAGGCGGAGGUUGCAGUGAGCCAAGAUCACAGCAUUGCACUUCAGCCUGGGCAACAAGAGUGAAACUCCAUCUCAAAAAAAAAAAAAAAAAAAAUUGAGGAAGCAUUCAGUUGUCCCACUUCCUUUCAAACAGGAAGAGACACUAGAGAGAAACCCUCUGAGAUAACUGACUGUUGAAUUAAGAAGAGAGGCCUGGCCGGACACAGUGGCUCACGCCUGUAAUCCCAGCACUUUGGGAGGCUGAGGUGGGCGGAUCACGAGGUCAGGAGAUCAAGACCAUCCUGGCUGACACGGUGAAACCCCGUCUCUACUAAAAAAUACAAAAAAACUAGCUGGGCGUGGUGGUGGGCGCCUGUAGUCCCAGCUACUCGGGAGGCUGAAGCAGGAGAAUGGCGUGAAUCCAGGAGGCAGAGCUUGCAGUGAACCGAGAUCGCGCCACUGCACUCCAGCGGCGACAGAGCAAGACUCCGUCUCAAAAAAAAAAAAAAAAAAAAGAGAAGUCUGACAGGACAAUAAAAUUUAGAAAUGGAGUUGGAGGAUGUCAUAAUACAAUUCACCAGUGUCCUAUCUUACAUGCAAUUUCAAAGGCAGACAAGAGGAAGUCAUCAGUCACAUUUUAGAGGCACCAAACAGGUGCCACAUCCAUACAGGCUGACUCCCUGCUCCCAGCCCAUUUUUUCCUGAAUCUUUGGCUUGCCAAUCAAGAAUGUCCUCAAAAUUUGCUCAGAGGUGUGGGCCUUUGGGUAAAGGUGUCUUCAGAAGCUCCACAUUAAAGAUCCAUCAGUGGUUAAGGGCAAAUUGAAGAGAAAUAAAGACUAAGAUAUUUUUUUAAAAGACUGAAAGAAUAGAACAAUGAAAAAGCCCCAUCUGUAAUACAGUUUUUCUUUUUCUUUUUUUUUGAGACAAGGUCUCUCUCUGUCACCCAGGCUGGAGUAGAGUGGCAUUAUCCUGGCUCAUUGCAAUCUGGGCCUCCUGGUUUCAAGUGAUUCUGGUGUCUCAGCCACCUGAGUAGUCAGGAUUACAGGUGCACACCACCACGCAUGGCUAAAUUUUUGUAUUUUUAGUAGAGAUGGGGUUUCACCAUGUUGAGCAAGCUGGUCUUAAACUCCUGACCUCAAGUGAUCCGUCUGUCUUGGCCUUUCAAAAUGCUGGGAUUAUAGGCGUGAUCCACUGUGCCUGGCCUGGUGUUUCUUUAGGUAUAAUGUCUUUACCAGAGAGCUAAUGCAGACUGUCAUGGGUGAGAUUGUUCUCUGAUGUUCAAUUCCCCUACUUUGUAUAUUGAGUCAGUAUGAGAUGCGAUUUGUUUGGCAAGCACCUUUGUUCCUGCUGUUACUGACCCUUAUCUUGUAGCCUCACAGCUACUAUGCUUUUGUCCAGUCCAACUAGAUAGGAGCUUCUUCCUCUGCUGCAGUGACUGGUCUCACCCAGGGCUUUCAGGAAGGUGAGAAUAAGCACCUUCCUCCUCCCAGGAAGUUUUGAGUUUCCUGUGUUUCAUUUCUGAAUGUAAUGUCUCCAUUUAUUUUCAAUUAUGUUUGAUUAUAUUUGAUUAAAAACAAUAAUUUUUUUGGCAACCAAGAUUUCUGUACAUGUGUCAUAGAAAUAGUUGAACUUUUCCACAACUGUAUACUGACAAACAUUAUUCUUUCUUAAUUAAUUCAGUAGCUAUAUUAAAAUAUGUAUUAGAUCAAGUUCAUAAUGUUGCCAAGUUAUUGGUUGGACAUUGUGAGUCAAUAUUAC